CUGCCCUGCACUCUGGGAUAAGCCCUGGAAACGGGGUCUAAUACCGGAUAGGACAUUCUGCCGCAUGGUGGGGUGUGGAAAGUUCCGGCGGUGCAGGAUGAGCCCGCCUCAUAUCAGCUUGUUGGUGGGGUGAUGGCCUACCAAGGCGACGACGGGUAGCCGGCCUGAGAGGGUGACCGGCUACACUGGGACUGAGACACGGUCAAUCUAUAUACGGGAGGCAGCAGUGGGGAAUCUUGCGCAAUGGGCGAAAGUCUGUCGCAGCAACGCCGCGUGGUGCAUGACGGCCUUCGGGUUGUAAACCUCUUUCGACAGGGACGAAGCCUUCGGGUGACGGUACCUGUAGAAGAAGCACCGGCUAACUACGUGCCAGC
rnacentral:rRNA from 1 species